UUAAGUUAAUAAGGGCGCACGGUGGAUGCCUUGGCACUAGAAGCCGAUGAAGGACGUGACUAACGACGAAAUGCUUUGGGGAGCUGUAAGUGAGCAAUGAUCCAGAGAUGUCCGAAUGGGGGAACCCGGCAGGUAAUGCCUGUCACUCAUUACUGUUAAGGUAAUGUAGAGGAAGACGCAGUGAACUGAAACAUCUAAGUAGCUGCAGGAAGAGAAAGCAAAAGCGAUUGCCUUAGUAGCGGCGAGCGAAACGGCAAGAGGGCAAACCGAAGAGUUUACUCUUCGGGGUUGUAGGACUGCAACGUGGACUUAAAGAUUAUAGAAGAACUACCUGGGAAGGUAGGCCAAAGAGAGUAAUAGCCUCGUAUUCGAAAUAGUCUUUAUACCUAGCAGUAUCCUGAGUACGGCGAGACACGAGAAAUCUCGUCGGAAUCUGGGAGGACCAUCUCCCAACCCUAAAUACUCUCUAGUGACCGAUAGUGAACCAGUACCGUGAGGGAAAGGUGAAAAGCACCCCGGGAGGGGAGUGAAAUAGAACCUGAAACCGUGUGCCUACAACAAGUUCGAGCCCGUUAAUGGGUGAGAGCGUGCCUUUUGUAGAAUGAACCGGCGAGUUACGAUAUGAUGCGAGGUUAAGUUGAAGAGACGGAGCCGUAGGGAAACCGAGUCUUAAUAGGGCGUAUUAGUAUCAUGUCGUAGACCCGAAACCAUGUGACCUACCCAUGAGCAGGUUGAAGGUGAGGUAAAACUCACUGGAGGACCGAACCAGGGCACGUUGAAAAGUGCUUGGAUGACUUGUGGGUAGCGGAGAAAUUCCAAACGAACUUGGAGAUAGCUGGUUCUCUCCGAAAUAGCUUUAGGGCUAGCGUCGAUGUUAAGUCUCUUGGAGGUAGAGCACUGUUUGGGUGAGGGGUCCAUCCCGGAUUACCAAUCUCAGAUAAACUCCGAAUGCCAACGAGAUAUAAUCGGCAGUCAGACUGCGAGUGCUAAGAUCCGUAGUCGAAAGGGAAACAGCCCAGACCACCAGCUAAGGUCCCAAAAUAUAUGUUAAGUGGAAAAGGAUGUGGGGUUGCACAGACAACUAGGAUGUUAGCUUAGAAGCAGCUAUUCAUUCAAAGAGUGCGUAAUAGCUCACUAGUCGAGUGACCCUGCGCCGAAAAUGUACCGGGGCUAAAACAUAUUACCGAAGCUGUGGAUACCUUUAUAGGUAUGGUAGGAGAGCGUUCUAUGUGCGAAGAAGGUGUACCGUGAGGAGUGCUGGAGCGCAUAGAAGUGAGAAUGCCGGUAUGAGUAGCGAAAGACAGGUGAGAAUCCUGUCCACCGUAAGACUAAGGUUUCCAGGGGAAGGCUCGUCCGCCCUGGGUUAGUCGGGACCUAAGGAGAGACCGAAAGGUGUAUCCGAUGGACAACAGGUUGAUAUUCCUGUACUAGAGUAUAUAGUGAUGGAGGGACGCAGUAGGCUAACUAAACCAGACGAUUGGAAGUGUCUGGCCAAGCAGUGAGGUGUGAUAUGAGUCAAAUGCUUAUAUCUAUAACAUUGAGCUGUGAUGGGGAGCGAAGUUUAGUAGCGAAGUUAGUGAUGUCACACUGCCGAGAAAAGCUUCUAGCGUUAAUUAUACUCUACCCGUACCGCAAACCGACACAGGUAGUCGAGGCGAGUAGCCUCAGGUGAGCGAGAGAACUCUCGUUAAGGAACUCGGCAAAAUGGCCCCGUAACUUCGGGAGAAGGGGCGCUGACUUAUGGUCAGCCGCAGUGAAUAGGCCCAAGCAACUGUUUAUCAAAAACACAGCUCUCUGCUAAAUCGUAAGAUGAUGUAUAGGGGGUGACGCCUGCCCGGUGCUGGAAGGUUAAGAGGAGUGCUUAGCAAUAGCGAAGGUAUGAAUUGAAGCCCCAGUAAACGGCGGCCGUAACUAUAACGGUCCUAAGGUAGCGAAAUUCCUUGUCGGGUAAGUUCCGACCCGCACGAAAGGCGUAAUGAUUUGGGCACUGUCUCAACGAGAGACUCGGUGAAAUUUUAGUACCUGUGAAGAUGCAGGUUACCCGCGACAGGACGGAAAGACCCCAUGGAGCUUUACUGCAGUUUGAUAUUGAGUAUCUGUACCACAUGUACAGGAUAGGUAGGAGCCUAUGACCUCGGGACGCCAGUUUAUAGUGAGGCGUUGUGGGGAUACUACCCUUGGGUUAUGGCUACUCUAACCCAGAUAGGUUAUCCCUAUCGGAG
rnacentral:rRNA from 1 species